rnacentral:lncRNA from 1 species
CCUGCGAUUUCCUCACAGGGAGGCCGGGCCCUGAAACCCGCCCGGCGACGUGGGUGGGCCUCUGUGAAGACAGUGUCUCUUCCCAUUCAGGAACUGCCCUGGGCCGGCCCCAGGCAAAGGGAUGUUUGUUGUUUAAGUAAAUAAACUGGUCAGAGGCUCCGCUGGCUGUGCAGGCUCCGAUGCCUCCCACAAGCCUGGUCCCAACCGGGAAGGGGCCACCAACAGAAAGAAGCCACCCGAUGCCACCCACCACGACACGCCCUUCUCCCUGGCACCGCCAGGGGUGCCGGGGGGCCAGAGAGAUUCCUCUCUGCCCGGCCCAGUGAAGCCCGUCCAUCCCCGUGAAGAGCCCUGGGUUUGCACCUCAGUUUUGCCAUCUUCUUGCCUUUCCAGAGGUGAAUUAAACUCAGAGACAAGAUUGGGGAUGGAGGGAGUGAAGGGCUGUGGGAUGUGGAAGACAGUUCUUCUGAGACUGCUUCCAGAAUCUUCCCUCUCCGCAAAUCUCCUUCAUCUUGCUUCCUCAUGCACACCUGCACUCUCUCUCACACCCACACUCUGCCUUUAAACCCAGAGGUUUUUGGAGGUUUGUUUUGUUUUUCAGAGACAGGGUCUUCUUGCUCUGUUGCCCAGGCUGGAGUGCAGUGGUGUGAUCGUAGCUCACUGCAGCCUCCAACUCCUGGCCUCAAGUAAUCCUCCUGCCUCAGCCUCUGAAAUUGUAGGGAUUACAGGUGUGAGCCACUACAUCCGGCCUGAAUCUAAUUUUUUUUUUAAAUUAAAAACACUAGGAAGAGCCAAACAUCCAGAUUGCCUCAGUCAACCUGGUUCCCAGUGAAUGCUGGAAGCCGCCUGGACAGGGGUUCUUUCAAUGCUGUCCAUCUCGUGCUGGGUCUGACGUCUGACAUCUGCUGACCGCCUCCUAUGUGUCACACACUGUGCUGGGCAUGGGGGCUCCCAGGGACAACACAAAGAAUCAGUGUCUACGUUCACGGCGCUUCCAUUUUAAAUUAAGGGACACACAUAGUAAAAUAAUUUCAAUAAAAUAAAAUGUUACAAGUAUUAGAAAAGUG